UACGUAGGGUGCAAGCGUUGUCCGGAAUUAUUGGGCGUAAAGAGCUCGUAGGCGGUUUGUCGCGUCUGCCGUGAAAGUCCGGGGCUCAACUCCGGAUCUGCGGGCGAUACGGGCAGACUGGAGUACUGCAGGGGGAGACUGGAAUUCCUGGUGUAGCGGUGGAAUGCGCAGAUAUCAGGAGGAACACCGGUGGCGAAGGCGGGUCUCUGGGCAGUAACUGACGCUGAGGAGCGAAAGCGUAGGGGAGCAAACAGGG
rnacentral:rRNA from 1 species